rnacentral:rRNA from 1 species
UACGUAGGGGGCUAGCGUUGUCCGGAAUCAUUGGGCGUAAAGCGCGUGUAGGCGGCCCGGUAAGUCCGCUGUGAAAGUCGGGGGCUCAACCCUCGGAUGCCGGUGGAUACUGUCGGGCUAGAGUGCGGAAGAGGCGAGUGGAAUUCCUGGUGUAGCGGUGAAAUGCGCAGAUAUCAGGAGGAACACCAAGUGCGAAGGCAGCUCGCUGGGACGUUACUGACGCUGAGACGCGAAAGCUAGGGGAGCAAACGGG